CGGGCAGCACAGUACAGAAUCAGUGUCUUUCAUUUCCCCAGUGAGAAGGAAAUGCUGUUCCUGUUGAUUAGCACU